rnacentral:other from 1 species
AGUUGCCUGCCGUGUUAGUCAGCUUCUACUUGUUUCGAACCUUGAAUUUUCAAAGGGAGUUCUAAAUUGAACAUCUGCCAACAUGCCGGUCGUUAAAAUCCGGAAGUUGAACGAGGUUCUGCGAACACCCACCUACUUACAGUAGGUUCAUGAAACAACUGAAGCAACGGCAUACGCGGGUUACGA